GUUUGUUUACACUCUGUUUUGCCUGCUUGUUGCGUUACUACUCGACCCUCUACCCUCGUCCCUGCCAUGAGUCUCCAUGUUCCUGCAGUGUUUUUGAUUGCACAACAAAACGAAAAGGAAAGUAAUCUGACAAAGGAAGAAAGUGUCAUUUUUGGCAGGGAGCUCACAGGAUCAAUGUGCAGAUCAGGAGUUUCGAGUCUUAUGCACCCGCUGUGUGCUGCCGGUUUGAGAUUGGCUGCAGACUGACACACCAGAGGCUUUUUCUUCUGGGCGGAUGGAGGAACCGGUCCGCAGAGAUGUGACAUGUGAAAGCUGCUGCAGAGAGGAGGCUGUCCUGUCAUGACAAAGAAACUCUCGGAGACGCACAACAUCUGAAGCACAGCUUUCCCCUGAAGGUGUUCAACAGACCGCAGCUUGAGAAAAUAGAACAUUUAGAAAAAAAAAAAGAUACGUAUCACACAUCCUGACCUUGCAAUGACACAGAUUCUUCUUUUGGUCAGAUUGAGUUCUUCAUAGGAAGCUCAAGCAGCUAAUGUAGCUAUUCAAGUAGAUGUGAAAGAACAGAUGUGUAAUUUUUACACUGUUUUUAAUGAAAAAAAGGCAAGUUGAAUAAAUUACAGAAUAUA